rnacentral:rRNA from 1 species
CACUCCUGCGGGAGGCAGCAGUGGGGAAUAUCGCACAAUGGGCGCAAGCCUGAUGCAGCCAUGCCGCGUGUAUGAAGAAGGCCUUCGGGUUGUAAAGUACUUUCAGCGGGGAGGAAGGCGAUAAGGUUAAUAACCUUGUCGAUUGACGUUACCCGCAGAAGAAACACCGGCUAACUCCGUGCCAGCAGCCGCGGUAAUACGGAGGGUGCAAGCGUUAAUCGGAAUUACUGGGCGUAAAGCGCACGCAGGCGGUCUGUCAAGUCGGAUGUGAAAUCCCCGGGCUCAACCUGGGAACUGCAUUCGAAACUGGCAGGCUAGAGUCUUGUAGAGGGGGGUAGAAUUCCAGGUGUAGCGGUGAAAUGCGUAGAGAUCUGGAGGAAUACCGGUGGCGAAGGCGGCCCCCUGGACAAAGACUGACGCUCAGGUGCGAAAGCGUGGGGAGCAAACAGGAUUAGAAACCCGGGUAGUCCCAUGAU